rnacentral:rRNA from 1 species
UGGGGAAUAUUGGACAAUGGGCGAAAGCCUGAUCCAGCCAUGCCGCGUGUGUGAAGAAGGUCUUCGGAUUGUAAAGCACUUUAAGUUGGGAGGAAGGGCAGUAAGCGAAUACCUUGCUGUUUUGACGCUACCGACAGAAUAAGCACCGGCUAACUCUGUGCCAGCAGCCGCGGUAAUACAGAGGGUGCAAGCGUUAAUCGGAAUUACUGGGCGUAAAGCGCGCGUAGGUGGUUCGUUAAGUUGAAUGUGAAAGCCCCGGGCUCAACCUGGGAACUGCAUCCAAAACUGGCGGGCUAGAGUAGGGCAGAGGGUGGUGGAAUUUCCUGUGUAGCGGUGAGAUGCGUAGAUAUAGGAAGGAACACCAGUGGCGAAGGCGACCACCUGGGCUCAUACUAACACUGAGGUGCGAAAGCGUGGGGAGCAAACAGG